UACAGAGGUCUCGAGCGUUAGGCGGAAUCACUGGGCUUAAAGCGUGUGUAGGCGGCGGGCUAAGUACCUUGUGAAAUCCCACGGCUUAACUGUGGAACUGCUGGGUAUACUGGUUCGCUUGAGCGGUCUAGGGGCGAGCGGAACAAAUGGUGGAGCGGGUGAAAUGCGUAGAUAUCAUUUGGAACGCCAACGGUGAAAACAGCUCGCUGGGGACCUGCUGACGCUGAGACACGAAAGCCAGGGGAGCGAACGGG
rnacentral:rRNA from 1 species